rnacentral:tRNA from 1 species
GGUGAUCAUAGCUCAGUUGGUAGAGCUCUGGAUUGUGGUUUCAGCGGUCAUGGGUUCGAUUCCCAUUGAUCACCCCCA